rnacentral:rRNA from 1 species
CCAAUAGCGUAUAUUAAAGUUGUUGCAGUUAAAAAGCUCGUAGUUGAAUUCCGGGAUCAACACGUCGGUCGUGCCACUGGUAUGAACUGGCGUCGUUGAUUUCUCCUUUCUGAAGAACCAUCAUGUCAUUAAUUUGGUGUGUUGGGGAAUCAGGACUGUUACUUUGAAAAAAUUAGAGUGUUUAAAGCAGGCUCACGCUUGAAUACAUUAGCAUGGAAUAAUGAAAUAGGACGUUCGAACCUAUUUUGUUGGUUUCUAGGAUCAACGUAAUGAUUAAUAGGGAUAGUUGGGGGCAUUAGUAUUCAAUUGUCAGAGGUGAAAUUCUUGGAUUUAUUGAAGACUAACUACUGCGAAAGCAUUUGCCAAGGAUGUUUUCAUUAAUCAAGAACGAAAGUUAGGGGAUCGAAGACGAUCAGAUACCGUCGUAGUCUUAACCAUAAACUAUGCCGACUAGGGAUCGGAUGAUGUUAAUUUUUUAAUGACUCAUUCGGCGCCUUACG